rnacentral:rRNA from 1 species
UACGUAGGUGGCAAGCGUUGUCCGGAAUUAUUGGGCGUAAAGCGCGCGCAGGCGGCCUUUUAAGUCUGAUGUGAAAGCCCACGGCUCAACCGUGGAAGGUCAUUGGAAGCUGAAGGGCUUGAGUACAGAAGAGGAAAGCGGAAUUCCACGUGUAGCGGUGAAAUGCGUAGAGAUGUGGAGGAACACCAGUGGCGAAGGCGGCUUUCUGGUCUGUAACUGACGCUGAGGCGCGAAAGCGUGGGGAGCAAACAGG